AACGUUUAAACAAAUUCUUAAUUAUAAGAACAACUUUAAUGGGGUAUCGAAUUUAAAUGCAAUAAAAGGCUAUUGUGCCAACUGAUGAGAAGCCUGAUGUUGACAACUAGCUCACAAUUUCAAGAGAAAACUAAAUGACGUUUCAGUCUAUCUUGGAACAUUGUUACUCACCGCUACUUGAUGGUCCAGGAAGGACCGAAACAUCAUCCAAUGUUUCCUCCUAAUUGUGGGUUUUUAAUUGCUCAUUGCACGGUACUGUGAUUUAUUCAAAUGUCACAUUAGCUAACUACUCGAGGGAGGUUCCUUGACACCGAGAAGGGCUCAUGAUCCAAGAAAAUUGCCUCCCAUUACCCUAGGCGUUGUAUGACCCAUACUGGUUUAGCACCCCCUCCCAUUGAAUGUAAUAAUAAUAAUAAUAAGUUAGAUUAACGUUUAUUAGCUUAUAUUUUCGUAUGAUUACUUGAGAAUAAAAAAAGAAUGGCUUACGUUUGACAGCACGGGCAUAUACUGAAUCUUCGUCCGUUCAUCUCCACACGCGCAGUUAAAUUUGAAUGACGGGUUGUUAUGUGAAAGUCAAAUUUUGGGAAGCUAAGAUAGACAUGCUUUCACCAAACAGGAUGAAAUCUAUCAGCCUGAGCUAACAGUGAGGAUAUCAUCAAGUAUUCCACUAUUGGUUCAGUAGCUUUGGAAGCUUAAUUAAAAUGUUUCUUUGCAGCAAAGCUGGAAUUUCCUGACAAGUGUGUUGCAGCAGCGUUGGUCGAGCAGGCUGGAGGAAGGUACUAGGAUAUGCUGCUGGUGAGCCGCCAGGCAAGCCAGCCGCGUCACCUUUAAUUUAAUAUGGAAAUGUUAUUUUCUCGUCAACCGUUUCGUAUGCACAUCCCCCCCACUCCUCCCCAUUUUUAUCCUCGCCACCCUCUCAUUACCCCUUUCCCUUUCCACCUUCCUCUGCCCCUUUCACUUUCCACCCUCCUCUGCCCCUUUCCUUUUCCACCUUCUGCCCCUUUCCUUUUCUACCCUCUGCCCUUUCCCUACCACCCUCAUUCGCCUCCCUCUGGGACACACUUCCGCCUGUCACUAGCAGAACUUGUUAGUUAUCUGAAUCAUUGCAAGUCGGUCACCCACAGCACCACACCAGCCUCCAGGCACUAAAAUCGCCGUAGUUUGUUCAUUCAACAGCACCACAACCAGAGUCGCAAGAACUGUUAAGAAUCCACAAUCUCCUGAGCUCGCUAUUGGGAGAAAUAUGCAAGACUUGUUACUUCAUAAAGGUUCUUCAGCUGAAGGAAAUCUCGGAAUCACUACUAUUUCUCAGGCAUACUUCAGUAAAAUAUAUUAUAUGUGAUUAUAGUGUGUGUGAGGAGGUGUUUUGGUAGUAGAAUUGAGAUAAACUGGCCAGAUAGGUUUGGGAUCUUUAUCAAAUUAAAAUUAUUGAUACUAUUAUAUUCAAGGGGAAGUGCUAAACCUGUAAGGGUCCAAUAGCAAUCUAUCAACGAGCCAUAACCAUUGAAUAUUAUUUCAUUCAUGGAGAGCGCUAAACCCGUAAGAAUAAUAGCGCCUGGGGGAAUAAGGUUCGAUCCAAGGAAGGGAAGGUCAGAUCCAAUUCCUUGGAUCAAGAGCCCCUCACCUGCAUCAAGACACCUUCCUUGAGGAGACACCCAAUGAUUAGAAUAAAUUACUCGAACACGCUUACUGCAUGUAACUUCUUGGCGGCCAUGUUUGGAACGAGGCUGUGGUGGUGGCCCGCUUUAUUCCCUGUAAAAUAAGUGUGAUGAGCAGUGUACUCAAAUUGUUUUCCCUUCUAAAAUGUGCGACUAGGUUGCGAGGAGUAUGGCAUUUAAUACAUUGAUUUUAGGCUGUGGAAAGAGGUGUCACACUGGUGAUAGAUGAGCAUCGGGAAAGAGGUCUGAAGGAGGAAAGAGUGGGAAGACGUUUUCAUAGCUGGAGCAAGAAUGCCUGUGACACCAUCCUGCCCCGCCACCACAUAUGUAAUGACAUACGUGCAUAUUUUAUUCAUUCUAGAUUAUUAUGAUCAAAAAGAAGCACUAAGCCACAAGGACUAUACAGCGCUGCAGGGCAGGAAGGAAGCGAGGGCAUCAGGUGGCAAAAGGGAGAUGGAUGAGUAAUAGGUUACGGAUAACAGCGGGGUAGUGGAUGGUGAAAGGGUAAAGGGCAGCAAGAGACUGAACUAGAAAGGGCUGAGGGGAGAGCGAAAAGUAUCAUCAGAGUUUGUGGAGUAAAUCAGUCGUUGUCAAGAAGUCAAUGAGAGAGUCAGGAUUAAAGAAGGGUCCAUCAGCAAGAAGGGAAGGUAAAGAGAGAGUAGUAGAACGAAGACGACGUUGGAGGUAAAUUCUGCGUGCUCGUUGAUAGAGAGGGCAGUCUAACAGAAUGUGGCUAAUCGAUACUGGAACUUGAGAUGAAUUGUGAUAGAUAAAUAAGCUGUAGAGUUGAUAUUAGUGUCAUAUUGAAGGAGUAUCAUGUCCUGCCUCCAAACAAACUGUCCUCCUCCUGGAACGGAUUAAUUGUAUUUACGUUAACUCUUAUGGGAAAUAUUGCUUCGAAUUUAGGCCGACCUUCUGGAACAGAUUACGGUAGUAUAUAUAUAUAUAUACCGACAUCAAAAUCAAGGGUAGCAACUAAUUAUAUCUGUUUUAUUAUGUUACACUUGAAAACAGAUAAGGCUAUAUUAAAAAAAUGUUUAUUCAAUACAGCUUAAGGGAAGAUAGACAUUUUAUUUCAUCACCUGUAUUUUAGAACUGGUUAUUGUUUGCAAUGCUGAAAUAAAAAAAAAAUGUAAAUUCCACUCAUCACUUUAGCACUUUAAAAAGUUGAGCCACAUAAUUCGAUAAAUCAAAUUAUAAAAUACUCUACACCAAUAAGUAGCCUAUUGUGACCUUAAUGCAGCCUAUUAUGACUGAAGUACAAAUAAUGCAUAUGUAUGAUGAACAUACACAACAUAUCAGACAAUCCUUUUAUUUUGAGCUGUAUGAAGAUGGUUUAAAGACAUGCGAGCAAACACUAGGACAUGAUUCACGAAAUUGUAAUAACACGAUUGUAAAUAAACCAUGGAACAGGUGGGCUUUGAACUAGGUCAUAUUUAUUAGACAUAUCUGUACCUGAUCACUUCUAACCAUUUAUUUGAAAAUGUUUUGGCUCUGGAACCUUCAUCACUUCUAACAUAAGUGAUAAAGGUCCCAGGACUGAAAUGUUUUCUUAUAAAUAUAUCCUAGUGUUUGCUAAUGUAUUUUUAAACCACUUUGUGGUAUCAAUUACCAAGGUUCAUAACAUACUAUAUGAUGAUGCACAAUGGCAGAGGAUAUCCUAAGAUGAAAGUUAGGUUGAUAAAAAUAAGGUCAAGAUAAUUUAUUUACUACGGUUUAGAAAUAAGGAAUUGGAUGGAAAGGACUGCAAAGAAAUUUGUGUAAAAGAAGUAAAAAUUGGCUACUGACUGGUAAACAACCAGCAUCAAAGAAAGUUAAGGGGAAAGAAUUACAAAGGAAAGAUCCUCUGAAAGCAAAAUUGAACAGCCUAUGUUAUAUUCUUCUUGAGCUGUCUGAAAAUUUGUCUACUCUGGACACCCCUUCAAGAGGGAGGGAAGGAAGCACAAGAAAUCCUUAAGAGAAACAGUUUCACUACAAAGUAGCUAUAUAUGAGGCACAACUAAGUUUUUUCUCAAUCUUUUAUCUACCUAGUGUAAAUUGCAAAAGAAUAUGUAAAAUAAUUUAUAUAGAGAAGGCUCAUUUGUAUAUAAAGAAAUAUUUUCAUAUAAUUUUUGUGAAUAUUAGCAUUAAUUAAAAUUCUAGAUUUAAUUAUAAUUAUCAUUUUUACUUAAGAUAAUGAGUAACAACUGUUUCUUUUAGUGUCCACUUAAAACAAAUAUGAUUGAAAAAUAAAUCGCUUAAAUCAAAGCCACUUCCAAUACUAAAAUUGCAGUUGUGGUGUAUUCCUUUACUAUUUAGAUUAUUAAA